ACAGUUCAAAGGCCAUGCCAGUGCUGCUGGAACCAGGAGCUGCUUUAAACCACCAUGUGUGUGCCUGACAGAAGUAACCAAAAACCUCGUAUUAUUUCCCCAAUGACAACCUUGAUUUUUAAAAGGCUAGUAGCACCAAGUAGUUGCAGCCAUCACCUGAACCCCACUCUGUUUAGCUGUGUGCAGCCAGACCAGAGGAGAGGGAUGAACACUCUCCAGCCAGAGCUGAAGUUAAAGCUGCAGUAGAAACCUGCCUCCUGCUUCACAGCACACCAGGCUGACACACAGCAGAGACCAGAAACUCCCUGCAUUUUCCUCCUCCCACACUCCAGCUCAAAGCCUUCAUAAAACCCUGAGUGAAUACACAGCUUGUGUUUGGUGAAGCAGUUUCCUUUCAGUUGUGCAGAGGGGAAGAGUAACACAUUUUACUUUCUGUUUUUCCUUCUCCCUUACCCUGCUGAUUUAAUUUCCAUCCCCUCACACGCCAUGCAGCCUGUUACAGCCAUGCUGCAGGUAGCCAUGGCAUAUUGGCAAUAAUUUCCAGACUAAUCUCCUUCAGUGUGGGGGCUCCCAUGGAUACAGAAAAACAGGGAGUCAUUUGCUUUUUACUCCCAGUGGAUCAUGGAGCUACAGGAAGGUGCCCUCUCCAGUGGCAAUCACUACCACACCCAUGCAGACUCUAUGAGGCUGGAUUAUGCUAUACAUUCCAUGGUUUAAUUUCAAGGCAAAGAUACUAAUAUGGUAUCCAAAGAUGAAUACAAAAGCAUUCUAAAAGAGUAUACAUUUUUUUUCUUUAAUAUAUUUGAAAACAGAAAUGCAUAAAAUUUCUUAAAAUGUUUCAAUGUACAAAUUUUGAGUAAAAUCACUAAAAUCUGCAGGCAAGACAGGGCUCACAUGUAGUGCUGAACCCUAAUCCAGGAAAAAAAAGUUAGUCUUUUCCCUUUAUCAACUCUGGUGGGAUUUUUUGCUUUCUGAAGAAAUAGCAUAGAUUGCCCACUGUGAUGGUUUUUUUUCUGUUUCUAGCCUCUGUUUUUUAUCUGGAUUCUUUUCCUCAAGGCUCUGUGGGGAGUCCCUACAAGUUAUCAAUAUCAAUGCAUCCCAUCCCAUGAUUCACACUCAAAUGCUGUGAUUUGGAGCAACUCCUCCUUCACCCUCAAGUUUGCAUCCCUUAUUCUUUGAGUUGUGACCUCUUCUACUCUGGUUUAGGAUCUCUCAGUAGCUUUGCACAGCUCUUCCAGAAAAGAGAAUCAUCUCAUUUUAUACCCCUUACUGCAAAAGUGAAAUACAAUAAAUCUUAGCAAAUC
rnacentral:lncRNA from 1 species